GGCAUGGGGAGACGGGGAGGGAGACAGGCUGUGGGGAGGAGGGAAGCCGCGGGUGGGCCGGGCCCGAGGCUUCAGCGCUUGGCUGCCGCCAGCCGCCACCCACACAGCAGCCCCGUGCGGGGCGGGCGCAGGGCUGGGCUUCCCAGAGAAGGACAGGAGCAGCCCCCUUGGCGUCCUGGCUGUGGCCCCAAGAGGCAGCCCCCCGGGAAUACACAGGCCAGGAGUUCAGGGAGCCAGCCUGGAGGAUUCGGGGGGCAAAGGCAAGAUGGCAGGUUCUGGUCUCCGACCACGCAGCCCUCGGGCCCCCACAUGGCCGCAGCCCUUUUUCCAGGAUGACACCCAGGUCGCUGGCCCCGGCCCCGUGGAGGGGGCUGGGCAGGGCUGCUGGGUCCGCCCCAGGUGGCACACAACUGUCAAAGCAGCCUUGAGAUAAGCCCGAUGGGGAGAGGUUAGUGGCACCCAGCCCGGGCCAGCCCUCCCCUGCAUGAGACGGGUGAGCAGCCGGUGGCACAGAGGCCGGCUCCUCCCAGACCUGAUGGGUGGCUGGGAGGGGACUGGAAGCCCGCCCACCUGGAUGCACCCAACUCCGGGGGAGAGGGUGCCCAGAAGUCACUCCUGCACAGGUUCCUGGGCGCAGGCCAGCGCACGGGGGUGCCCAUCUGUGUAAGUUAGGACGCUGCCACGCCAAGUUCUCGGUCAGUUUUGUGGCAUCUGGCAAGCAGAAAGCCCAGCUCAUGCGGGGGGGUGGGGAGCCAGGGGCCGGGGACAGGCCCCGCCCCCCAGGGCCCUGUCUGUCGGCACCCAGUGCCUUUCCCUCCUCCCCUGGGAGCUGCCCAGAGGCAGGCCUCUGCAAAGGGGGAUGGGGGCCCAGGGUAGGGGAGGGAUGACCCCACACACUGGGCAUCAGUCCAGGCAGGAUCUUGCUUCCACCCCCAGGCCCUCUUCUUCCCUGUCCAGGGGCUAGCGAGCCAGAGAUGGCACCUGGGGGCUGCCCAGCUCCGGGGUGUGGCUGGGGGGGAGGUGGGGGUGGCAGCGAGUCUGGCCCUGGCAUCCAGCUGUCAUCUGGCCAAGGCCCUGGUGCAGCCUGGUUAUCCACGCUGGCCCUGAUCUCCUUCUGGGAGAGCAGCCCCAGGCCACCAGCGCCCCCAGGUGGACAGUUUGAGAAUGACAGCACUGAAAAGGCAGUGGGGGGCGCCCCCUGCUGCCCAGGUUGGGAGGAAGUGUGGAGCAACCCUGUUUGAGCUCUGUCCCCACCACUUACCUGCUCUGGGACCUAGGCUGGGUAGCCUGACUUCUCAGCUUUGGCCUAAAUACAAUGGCAUUCAGUCACAGAAGGCACUCAGGUAGCUGGGGACCGCCCCACCCCCACACUGGAGCGGCCGACGGGUGACAGGAUGGCGAAGCCAUCGGUGUCCUCAGAGGUCUCCGAAAAUCUCAGGAAGGGUAAAUACCAACAUCACAGGCGCAGCAGGGGCCCGUGCUGGCGACAGCCCUGCCUCCAACCCAUGUGGCGGCCCUGGGAGGCCACAUCCCCGGCUCGGCCUCAGUCUUCUCAUCUGUAAAUGGGGUUGAUGAAGUGCAGUGGAAACACUCCACACUGAGAAGGCGGGCCUUCUUCCAGCUGGGAUUACUCUGAAAAAGAGUUUAAAGACUCAUAUUUGUUUGAAAGACAGUGAUGGGGGAGGGGAGGGAGGAAGAGAGAGAGAGAGGUCUUCCACCUGCUGGUUCACUCCCCAGAUGGCUGCAGCGGCCGGGGCUGCGCCAAGCAGAAGCCAGGAGCCCAGCGAGUGGGGCAGCUCGCACUCGAGCCAGCGUCCAUAUGGGAAUCCGGUGUCACAGGCAGCCACAACGCCAGCCCCACAUUUUCUUUAGGAAAAAAAAAAGAGGGGAGCAGCUAUACAAGAGGUCUUCAGAAAGUUUUUGGAAAAUGAGCACAUUGCACAUGGAGUUUUGUAGCGAAGUGGACUUCUUUUAAACGCGUUCAUUAUUUUAUCUGAAAAGUGGAGAGAGAGAGUUGGCCCACCUGCCUCUCACACCCCCACAGGCCUGCAGCAGCGGGGGGAGGUCUCCCCGUGGCCUUUAAAUAGCUUCUCCUUGUCCCUGCACCCUCCCCGCCCCAGGCGCCUGGGGCAACCCCCGCCUGGGCUCUCUGCAAACACGGGGUCUUGCUUCGCCCUGCUGACACAUCCCCUGCCAGGCCCGUGUGCGGGCAGCGUCACUCCUGGGACAGGACACUCCGGCCACAGGCGCGGGGCCUGCACCUAAGCCCGAGGGAACGCCGGGCGAACCCACGGAGGCCACGGGCACCGGACAGCCACAGAGCAGCUUCCGUGGGACGCGCCCCGCCCCGCAAUGCAGGUGGAAACGUCUGGCGGCGAAACAGCCUGGGCUCCCUGCUAUGGCCUGGGAAAGCAGUGGAGGAUGGCCCAAGUGCUUGGGCCCAUGUGGGAGACCCAGAAGAAGCUCCUGGCUCCUGGCUUUGGAUCGGCACAGCUCCGGCCAUUGUGGCCAUUUGGGGAGUGAACCAGCGAAUGGAAGACCUCUCUCUCUCUCUCUCUCUCUGCCUUCAAAUAAAUAAAUAAAUAAAUAUUUUUUAAAGAAUGGAGUUACUCAUAGCCUUUCCUGUGUUCCUCCAGUUCUACCUCAAGCCCAUUCACCAGAUAAUAGCCGUACGGCAAUGAGCGUGCCGGCCAUGGGCCUGGCGCUGUGGCGCGCCCUGACUCCCUCUGGGGCGUGAAGUCUGUGCUGCUGCCAUUCCACAGACGGGAAGACCGAGGCCAGUUUGCAGAGCGUCGCCCACCAGCCUGGGCAGCCUGAAUCACGCCGCCUCUCGGACCCGGUGCCAGGGCCUGGCUCGGGGCGGAAGAACUGCCCUGGGGGUGCCCUGCGGAUUUGGGGUCCAGGCAGCCGCUCGGCGCCCCCGCCCCUCCCUCCCUGGAGCGGGCGGGCGUUGGAGGCGUCUGUGUCUUCAUCUGCACACGACCCCUGCAUUUUCGUGCCUGCCCAACAUCCGGGCCUUUGUGGGUCUUCCGAGGGGUGACAGGGCAGGGGCGCGGGGACAAGCCUGGGGCCCCCGCCCAGUCGGGAACUUGCGCUCUGUCCGCAGCCAGCCCGAGCCCUCGUUUUGGCUGGGUGACCGGCUGGCCGGGCCUCGCUGGCCUCACCUCUGCCCUGGGAAUGCUGACGGGGCGGGGCGCUGGGCAGCCUGGGCUCGCCGGCCCCCGGGCACCCAAGAAGACCCAGCGGCCAGCCCCCAGCCCUCAGCCUCCCCGGCUCACCCCCAGGCCCUGGCCUCUGGGGCCGGCCCCCAGCCCUCAGCCUCCCCGGCUCACUCCCAGGCCCUGGCCUCCGGGGCCGG